rnacentral:rRNA from 1 species
GCGCGAAUCUUCGGCAAUGGGCGCAAGCCUGACCGAGCGACGCCGCGUGGAGGACGAAGGCCUUCGGGUUGUAAACUCCUGUCGAGGGGGAGGAAGGCGCAAGCUUGACCGAUCCCUGGAGGAAGCACGGGCUAAGUUCGUGCCAGCAGCCGCGGUAAGACGAACCGUGCGAACGUUAUUCGGAAUCACUGGGCUUAAAGCGCGUGUAGGCGGGCCGGCACGUCGGCCGCUGAAAUCCCCCGGCUGCAACCGGGAACGGCAGGCGCCGCAUACGACCGGCCUGGAGGGGAGUAGGGGGCCUGGAACUUCCGGUGGAGCGGUGAAAUGCGUUGAGAUCGGAAGGAACGCCCGUGGCGAAAGCGAGGCCCUGGACUCCUGCUGACGCUGAGACGCGAAAGCCAGGGGAGCGAACG